GUUUAGUGAGGCUUCCUGACUGGCGCCGAUACUCUGGCAACAGAGCGUCGGAUGCCGGAAAGUUGGUCAAACUUGAUCAUUUAGAGGAAGUAAAAGUCGUAACAAGGUUUCCGUAGGUGAACCUGCGGAAGGAUCAUUACCGAUACAACAAGCUAACAACUGUGUUGUCUGCUGUGUGAACCGUACCCAACCUUAUUCAGGGGUCGGCCCGGGGGGCCGUUAAAUGGCGAUCGGACGCGAAGUCUCGCGGCCGCUUCGCCUGCCCCGCCUUGGUUUUUUUUCAACAUACGUGUCUUGUCUGAUGUCUGUCGAGGCGUCCGCCUCGUCAAGUAGAAAAAAAAGCGAGAGACAACUUUUGACGGUGGAUCUCUUGGCUCACGCAUCGAUGAAGAACGCAGCCAGCUGCGAUAAGUAGUGUGAAUUGCAGAAUUCAGUGAAUCAUCGAAUCUUUGAACGCAAAUGGCGCUCUUGGGUUCUCCCAGGAGCAUGUCUGUCUGAGUGUCGGAUUGUCAUCCAUCGCGGGUGCGCGCUCCAGUGCGCGCGCCGGCGGCGUUGAGGCGUCACGGCCUUUACAAAAAUCGGCCGUGUCCCUCGAAGGGCAGAGAGACUCGCUGUGGUCCGGGGCUCGUUCCCGCAGCGCAGCAGCGGAGGCCAAAAGUGUCAGCACUCCUUCGCGCGCUGCCGGGACCCCGCCGCGCCCGAGUCGUGUAGGCGAAAAGAAUGGUCCGGCCAGGGCCAACCUCUUGACCUCAGAUCAGGCAAG
rnacentral:ncRNA from 1 species